AUUGAUUGGUGCUUGCAUCAUGAUUUACAUUUGAGUGAGUGGCGAACUGGUGAGUAACACGUGGGAAACCUGCCCAGAAGCGGGGGAUAACACCUGGAAACAGAUGCUAAUACCGCAUAACAACUUGGACCGCAUGGUCCGAGCUUGAAAGAUGGCUUCGGCUAUCACUUUUGGAUGGUCCCGCGGCGUAUUAGCUAGAUGGUGGGGUAACGGCUCACCAUGGCAAUGAUACGUAGCCGACCUGAGAGGGUAAUCGGCCACAUUGGGACUGAGACACGGCCCAAACUCCUACGGGAGGCAGCAGUAGGGAAUCUUCCACAAUGGACGAAAGUCUGAUGGAGCAACGCCGCGUGAGUGAAGAAGGGUUUCGGCUCGUAAAACUCUGUUGUUAAAGAAGAACAUAUCUGAGAGUAACUGUUCAGGUAUUGACGGUAUUUAACCAGAAAGCCACGGCUAACUACGUGCCAGCAGCCGCGGUAAUACGUAGGUGGCAAGCGUUGUCCGGAUUUAUUGGGCGUAAAGCGAGCGCAGGCGGUUUUUUAAGUCUGAUGUGAAAGCCUUCGGCUCAACCGAAGAAGUGCAUCGGAAACUGGGAAACUUGAGUGCAGAAGAGGACAGUGGAACUCCAUGUGUAGCGGUGAAAUGCGUAGAUAUAUGGAAGAACACCAGUGGCGAAGGCGGCUGUCUGGUCUGUAACUGACGCUGAGGCUCGAAAGUAUGGGUAGCAAACAGGAUUAGAUACCCUGGUAGUCCAUACCGUAAACGAUGAAUGCUAAGUGUUGGAGGGUUUCCGCCCUUCAGUGCUGCAGCUAACGCAUUAAGCAUUCCGCCUGGGGAGUACGGCCGCAAGGCUGAAACUCAAAGGAAUUGACGGGGGCCCGCACAAGCGGUGGAGCAUGUGGUUUAAUUCGAAGCUACGCGAAGAACCUUACCAGGUCUUGACAUACUAUGCAAAUCUAAGAGAUUAGACGUUCCCUUCGGGGACAUGGAUACAGGUGGUGCAUGGUUGUCGUCAGCUCGUGUCGUGAGAUGUUGGGUUAAGUCCCGCAACGAGCGCAACCCUUAUUAUCAGUUGCCAGCAUUAAGUUGGGCACUCUGGUGAGACUGCCGGUGACAAACCGGAGGAAGGUGGGGAUGACGUCAAAUCAUCAUGCCCCUUAUGACCUGGGCUACACACGUGCUACAAUGGAUGGUACAACGAGUUGCGAACUCGCGAGAGUAAGCUAAUCUCUUAAAGCCAUUCUCAGUUCGGAUUGUAGGCUGCAACUCGCCUACAUGAAGUCGGAAUCGCUAGUAAUCGCGGAUCAGCAUGCCGCGGUGAAUACGUUCCCGGGCCUUGUACACACCGCCCGUCACACCAUGAGAGUUUGUAACACCCAAAGUCGGUGGGGUAA
rnacentral:rRNA from 2 species